ACGAUGAAUCUCUCACUUUCGUGUUGUUCUUCGUCGUUUCCACUUCUCCAACUGACGUCUCAUCUUCUUCUCUAUUGCUCCACUGUAACGUCAGCCACCAAUACAUCUCUCUCAUUAAACUCCCUUCUUCACUCCUUUAAUCGUAAGCCAUCAAAGCGUUCUGGCUCCCUUCGUUUGUCACCCUCUCCCUAAACUAACUAUAUAAACAUAUGGUGAUAUUCAAGAUCGAAAAUACUCCACAUCGUAAUCUCCAGAAGAAGUGUUGAUUUUGUUAGUACUUUUAAUGUUAACCUGUUAAUUUUCCUUUCACAGGCUGAUGAACUCCAAAUCGAAGAGACUGUUAUAUAAAGAUGACGAGGAUGAAGAAGUUCAACAAAAGAAGAGCAGAAAGUAGAUCGGCGAGAGAAACAUAGAUAGUCAUCGUUCAUAUCGCCCAUUCCAUCCUCGCUGGCGAUGGAUCUUCCUUGAGUGUGCCCUCAAUGCGCCUCCUCUGACCAGCUCUAUGUCCCAGAGCUCCACCGCAUAGUGCUAAAAGCCAGAGCCUUUCUCUCUUUGCCUCUGCAUUGGAGCAAGAAGUCUUGGAAUCGAGUAAAUAUCCGUAUCCGGAGGAGUAACAUACAUCUGCAACCAACCACCACAUCAAAACGCAGCCGUAUUAGUUGAAAACGGAGAUAGUGCGAGUUCAAAGUUAAAAGCAGAGAGAACUUUCACAUACCUCUCUGAAGUCAUAAACAUCGUUAUCAAGAUCAGGCGGCUUCCUGAUGAAGAAAUCGCAGUCCAGAAGGCUGAUCUUAUGGAACUCGUCUUCGUUUAUCCUGUAAUCCACCACCAUCUCCGAGUCCCAUCCCUGCGUCGAUAUGAAGCUCUUGCUCUGCACGAACGCGAUGUCCCCGUCGCCGCCUGCCGUCGUCUACUUUGACGAUGGUUGAAUGGACGCGGCUGGGAGCCUGGGGUUUAGUGUUAGAGGCGCGAAACCGACGUUGGUUCUGAAUGAAGGGAAAAUAAGGUGCGUGGUGGAGGCUGCGGAGGGAGACGGAGGAGGUUUUGAAGUGAGUGAGAGUAGAGAUAAGGAGGGAGAAGCGGCGGAAGACGCCAUGGGGGGGAAGUGGAUAAAGCUCUCUCAAAGAGUGUUGUAAUUGUGGGUUAUAUAUUUCGAUAAAAUGUUGGAAACUAGAGCAUCUUUAUCCGGGUAUAGUAGGGUUUCUUAGCCUGUGGAUUCCGCGUAGGACCCACUUUUUUUUAAGAAACCGGUUACAAAAACUACUAAAUAGUAGUCGGUUCUUAAGGGUUUCUUACACUGUUCGCGGGCCUCACUAACACGUGGCGGCUCACGAUUAGUUCCUUUUUUUUUUUUUUUAAAUUCGAAAAAGUAAAAAAAAGAAAAAAAAAUUAAGAAACUCCAUUUGGGGUUUCAGGGAUAAUGAUGCUCUAACUCAAUAUCCCCUCAUAGCAUAUAGCUAGUUGGCAUUUUAGGUUGUUGCAGUUUUUUUCAAAGGGGUUGGAUAGGCCGAAUGAUAAGUUAAAAGUCCAUUCUCUCAGGGAUGAUGACGUGACAAAAUGAAACUUCUUUAUUGGCUGAUGUGGAUAGCCUAAACACUCAUGUUAUUCUCCUUGCAUUACAUAAAACAUUAAUCAAAUCCCUGCAUUAGUCCUACAAAAAUGAAAAGACUCACUUUAAUAGCCCAUAGGUGAUAGGCCCAGCAAAUUAUAUUGAAGUGGCGAAAAAGGCUGGAGUUUCUUCCAAGCCACCGUCGACUUUACUUACUCUCUCCUCCGUCUCAGAUUGCUUCUCCGUUAGGAAAAAAACUCCAAUCUUCACCGAUGUCGGUAUGUUUGAUCAGUAACAGUCUCUUGUUUCGAUUCAUCAUUACGAUAAUGGUGACUAAUCGAUGUGCGGCGAGAUCUUCGAGUACAAUGGAAGUGCAGUUGUGGCUAUGGUGGGGAAGAACUGCUUCGCCAUCGUAGGCUCGGUGUUCAGCUCCAGACGAUUGCCACCGAUUUCCAGAGAAUCUCCAAGAUCCACGACCGUGUCUUCAUCGGCCUCUCUGUAAGAAGAAGAAAGCUUUCUAGAUGUGUUUUAUUUGCUUCUUCUCUACUUGCGAACUUGUUAAAGGUUUUUGCUUUUUCUGGGGGGGAUGGAUGGAAGGUACCAGCGCUUGGUGUUUCGUCAUAAGCUCUACCAGCUUCGUGAAGAGAGAGACAUGAAGCCUGAGACUUUCGCUAGUCUUGUCGGGGUUGAUUCUCUGAUGAUGAUGCAUACUCAUAUCAUAUGUUUGUUUUUCUUACUCGUGUUUCACUUGCGUUUGCUGUUUUGAAAAUGAGUCGUCUGUUACUCUUGCAUAUCGAAUGUUGAUGUCAUUGAUACUUGUGAUUCUAUUGUAAAAUUGCAGGGAGUUGGCUAAAGAUUUUGUUGUAUCUGGAAUACAGUUCGCUCUGUCCAUCACCGUGGGACGUGUUAUGCUACGUCGAGAAUUUCUGCGUGGCUAGUCUUGCGAAGGCCGCCUUGAUCCUGAUCGUUGCCUACUUAUUUCUAUUCUUCAUCUACAUAAAGUCUCAUGAGAACCAGAUGGAAACCAACUACCAUAUCUCUAUUUCUUGUCUGAAUUUCCCGGUUGAUAUUUUUCUAAGAAUAGACAACGAUUGGACUUCUCACCGUCCGACCGAACCAGAGGUGCAGUCACAUUGCCAAAAGUACCAGAAAGACGGAAAUUGUAACACUGAAAGAUUGCUUUCACUCAAGGAAUUAUAUUGCUCUCGAUCUCAGGGACAUGUUUGAAACUGUCACCAGAUCCCAUAAACUCCCAAGAUAUUCUUGUUUGAAGCUGCAAGAGACUGUUUGAGAAAACCGAAACUACUCCUUCCCUACCUAAAAGACCACGACCACACACACUGAUGCAGCAGCAUCUCAUCUACAAGCGCCAACAUGAUAAUUCAAAUUAUCAUGUUCUUACCGUUGGGUUUCUUUUGUUUCUUAAACUUAGGAUUUUGUUUUAAAAUUUCCUUUUUCUUGGUAUUUUCUAUUUUCCUAUUCUAACCUGGUUUUUGGUUUUAGAAUAACUAUAUAAAGAGAGCUAUACCUCUCUUGUUAGUCACGUUUUGAUUUUAUAAUAUAGAGCUUUCGCUUUUAA